rnacentral:rRNA from 1 species
AUACGUAGGUGGUUUGUCGCGUCGUCUGUGAAAUUCCGGGGCUUAACUCCGGGCGUGCAGGCGAUACGGGCAUAACUUGAGUACUGUAGGGGAGACUGGAAUUCCUGGUGUAGCGGUGAAAUGCGCAGAUAUCAGGAGGAACACCGGUGGCGAAGGCGGGUCUCUGGGCAGUAACUGACGCUGAGGAGCGAAAGCAUGGGUAGCGAACAGGAUUAGAUACCCUGGUAGUCCAUGCCGUAAACGGUGGGCGCUAGGUGUAGGGGUCUUCCACGACUUCUGUGCCGUAGCUAACGCAUUAAGCGCCCCGCCUGGGGAGUACGGCCGCAAGGCUAAAACUCAAAGGAAUUGACGGGG